rnacentral:rRNA from 1 species
UACAGUGUGGGGCAAGCGUUGUUCGGAAUUACUGGGCAUAAAGGGUGCGUAGGCGGUUUGUUAAGUCACUGGUGAAAGUUUUCGGCCCAACCGGAAAAUUGCCUGUGAUACUGGCGAACUUGAGUGCGUGAGGGGUGGGGGGAACGAGCAGUGUAGCGGUGGAAAUGCGUAGAUAUUGCUCGGAAGGCCGGAGCCGAAGGGGCCCCACUGGUACGUAACUGACGCUGAGGCACGAAAGCGUGGGGAGC